AUUGCUAACACAGGUAAGAGGCAUUCAGAGGGUGGCGCCUGCCCAAAGCAUGAAGGAAAGAUCCAGUUCUAUUUCCUCAAUGAGUUAAUGCUGCCUGAAAGUUCUGCUCAACCUGAGAGGAACAAGGGGUCCCUGGCUCUGAACAGCCUGGCUCUGUGCUCCCCUGGAGUCCCUGGGCCACACCAGGUCCCUAGGGAAGGUGGGGAAGGGCCACAGUCUUCAGCAGAGUCCUUAUCUGUAGUGACCCUUGGCCUGGGAGGAGACAUGUAUACUUCGGGCAGCAGAGGCCUUGUAAGUGUCUUUGGAGAGUGACAGUUGGUCAGGUCACUGCCCGUGACCCACAUCACUCCCUUCCCGCUCAGGGAAGUUUAUCAUGACUGCCUCCAGUGACACCACUGUCCUCAUCUGGAGCCUGAAGGGUCAAGUGCUGUCUACCAUCAACACCAACCAGAUGAACAACACACACGCUGCUGUAUCUCCCUGUGGCAGGUUGGAGUGCAAUGGCAGGAUCUUGGCUCACCACAACCUCCGUCUCCCGGGUUC
rnacentral:lncRNA from 1 species